rnacentral:rRNA from 1 species
CCUACGGGAGGCAGCAGUGGGGAAUCUUGCGCAAUGGGCGAAAGCCUGACGCAGCAACGCCGCGUGCGGGAAGAAGGCUUUCGGGCUGUAAACCGCUUUCAGCAGGAACGAAAAUGACGGCACCUGCAGAAGAAGGAGCGGCCAACUAUGUGCCAGCAGCCGCGGUGAUACAUAGGCUUCAAGCGUUGUCCGGAUUUAUUGGGCGUAAAGAGUUCGUAGGCGGUCGAGUAAGUCGGGUGUGAAAAUUCUGGGCUCAACCCAGAGACGCCACCCGAUACUGCUUAACUUGAGUUCGAUAGGGGAGUGGGGAAUUCCUAGUGUAGCGGUGAAAUGCGCAGAUAUUAGGAGGAACACCGGUGGCGAAGGCGCCACUCUGGAUCGAUACUGACGCUGAGGAACGAAAGCAUGGGUAGCAAACAGGAUUAGAUACCCUGGUAGUCCAUGCCGUAAACGGUGGGCACUAGGUGUGGGUAGUACUAUUAACGUAAUUACCGUCGCCGUCGUCGUACGACAUAAGUAGCCCGCCGUCGGGAGGUACGGUCGCGAAGAACGUAAACGUACGAAACGGUAAGUUAGUACGGCGUUGUAGACGUUAGACCGAACGGACGACGACGAGGGAGGAGG